GAUAACUUCGGGAAACCGGAGCUAAUACCGGAUAAUAUUUUGAACCGCAUGGUUCAAAAGUGAAAGACGGUCUUGCUGUCACUUAUAGAUGGAUCCGCGCUGCAUUAGCUAGUUGGUAAGGUAACGGCUUACCAAGGCAACGAUGCAUAGCCGACCUGAGAGGGUGAUCGGCCACACUGGAACUGAGACACGGUCCAGACUCCUACGGGAGGCAGCAGUAGGGAAUCUUCCGCAAUGGGCGAAAGCCUGACGGAGCAACGCCGCGUGAGUGAUGAAGGUCUUCGGAUCGUAAAACUCUGUUAUUAGGGAAGAACAUAUGUGUAAGUAACUGUGCACAUCUUGACGGUACCUAAUCAGAAAGCCACGGCUAACUACGUGCCAGCAGCCGCGGUAAUACGUAGGUGGCAAGCGUUAUCCGGAAUUAUUGGGUGUAAAGCGCGCGUAGGCGGUUUUUUAAGUCUGAUGUGAAAGCCCACGGCUCAACCGUGGAGGGUCAUUGGAAACUGGAAAACUUGAGUGCAGAAGAGGAAAGUGGAAUUCCAUGUGUAGCGGUGAAAUGCGCAGAGAUAUGGAGGAACACCAGUGGCGAAGGCGACUUUCUGGUCUGUAACUGACGCUGAUGUGCGAAAGCGUGGGGAUCAAACAGGAUUAGAUACCCUGGUAGUCCACGCCGUAAACGAUGAGUGCUAAGUGUUAGGGGGUUUCCGCCCCUUAGUGCUGCAGCUAACGCAUUAAGCACUCCGCCUGGGGAGUACGACCGCAAGGUUGAAACUCAAAGGAAUUGACGGGGACCCGCACAAGCGGUGGAGCAUGUGGUUUAAUUCGAAGCAACGCGAAGAACCUUACCAAAUCUUGACAUCCUUUGACAACUCUAGAGAUAGAGCCUUCCCCUUCGGGGGACAAAGUGACAGGUGGUGCAUGGUUGUCGUCAGCUCGUGUCGUGAGAUGUUGGGUUAAGUCCCGCAACGAGCGCAACCCUUAAGCUUAGUUGCCAUCAUUAAGUUGGGCACUCUAAGUUGACUGCCGGUGACAAACCGGAGGAAGGUGGGGAUGACGUCAAAUCAUCAUGCCCCUUAUGAUUUGGGCUACACACGUGCUACAAUGGACAAUACAAAGGGCAGCGAAACCGCGAGGUCAAGCAAAUCCCAUAAAGUUGUUCUCAGUUCGGAUUGUAGUCUGCAACUCGACUACAUGAAGCUGGAAUCGCUAGUAAUCGUAGAUCAGCAUGCUACGGUGAAUACGUUCCCGGGUCUUGUACACACCGCCCGUCACACCACGAGAGUUUGUAACACCCGAAGCCGGUGGAGUAACCUUUUAGGAGCUAGCCGUCGAAGGUGGGACAAAUGAUUGGGGUGAAGUCGUAACAAGGUAGCCGUAUCGGAAGGUGCGGCU
rnacentral:rRNA from 1 species